AAACGAAGCAUAUUUUGCCAGUGAGCCCAUGGAGAACAGCCUCCAUCAUUCGUUCAAAGAGGAUCCAUUUCGACCUGCCAGUAUCCGCUCUGAAGAUCUAUGGUGCUGAACCAAGUUGCACCAGCUAUCAGAUCGAGUGUCUCAUCGAUUCUGGGUAAAGGGACGAUUGGUGAGGCCCAGGGACUAGACGAUGGUUCAAUCACAUCGUUCUUUAGCAUGUCUUCGACAAGCUUCUUUACCUCUUCUCGGGCGUUGAGAGCGAGUCUUCCAGGAGCUUGUUUAAUUGGUGAACUCUCUCCGACGUCGAUCUUGUGCUUGACAGAAGUACAACGGCCCUUAUCACCACUAUCUUUGGCGAAAGAAUCUAUAAAUUCUAGCAAAAGAGGUUUAAACGAUUCUACCUGAGCUGAAUUUAACGAAAUCGAAGAUUUCUCAACAAGGCUCUGUGAAUGUAAAGGAAAAUGUCGUUGCAAAUCAUCCUCCGAAAGUUCUAUUUCUCUAAUUCUAGGAGGAGUCCAAUAAAUUCCAUUUCUAUUUGUACAAAGAGCUAUUUCGCGAUUGUUUGAAGCUAGUGAAUUUCUCUUAGUCGAGAUAACACAGUUAUGAGCUGUA